rnacentral:snRNA from 1 species
GUGCUCACUUCGGCAGCACGUAUACUAAAAUUGGAACGAUACAGAGAAUAUUAGCAUGGACCCUGCACAAGGAUAACACGCAAAUUCAUGAAGCAUCCCAUAUUUUU